rnacentral:lncRNA from 1 species
GCAGCCACCGGUCACCUCAGCUGUGAACCAUGUAGGAGCCGUCUGGGUGUAGCCCUACCUGCCAGGCGGCGCCCCGCGGGCUGCCGCCGCCGCUGCCUUGAAGAAGCAGUUCAACCUCAUCAGCAGGUGGCCGACCUGACUAUGGGCCGGUCGGCUCUGGACCGAACCACAGCCCAGCCCGAGGCCAGCGGGACGCCCGCUGCCGCUCAAUCGCCCCCUGGUCCUUGGCGACCAUCUGGGACGGGCCGCUGCCUCCUCUGUAGCAACCCCUCGGGUGCCCCCUGCCCAUUGUCCCUACCCCGGCGAGCAUUGCCCUGCGAGGACUACACCCGAUGCUUCUCCUCUCUUCCGGAGGACACAGCCAGCCUGGGACCGCUGCCCUGUGCUAAAACUCCGAUGACUUCUGUCCCUAACGCUGUGCCGAGCGCUGUGCUGUGGGGGGCAGCAUUGUCAGACUUUCCGGGUUGACCCGCUGUUGGGAGUCCUUUAAGUGCAUGGUAGCAAGAAAUAAAGGGAUAUAUGAAAGCCAGUCGGAUUUGCUUAGUGAAUUUCAGAACGCCUGCGAGGGAAUUCGGAGGUGGUGCAGUCUCAGAAACCAGUAUUCCUAGGAACUUGACUGCUGCUGCAAGUUCUUGACAUUUAGAAAUUUAGAACUGGGAGACACCUUGUGCCAGUUUAAAAAGUCUUCUUCCUCUUGGAUUUGGAGACAGCUACUUCUCCAUGUUCCUUUGGUACUGCUUGAAUGCUUGAAAAGAAACAUAGGCAAACAAAAAUAAUUUAUAUACGGAAGAUGUGUGCUUAUGGAGGGAUAGCUAAUGCACUGAACAAAACCUAGCUGUCAUUAGAUGGAGGGAGGUAACAAAAGCUACCCAGAGAUGAAAAAUCUGAGCAGAGACUUUGUCAUCCGUCUUUAAACACUGCUUUCAAAUACUACUUGUAUUGAUUAGGUCUCUUGGCCAUAAAGAAAACCUAAAACUUCUUCAAGCAAAGAUAGGAAUUAGUUGUCUCCUAAGUAAUCACAAGAGUCCAAGAGUAGUGUGGCUGCAGAUUUGGCUACAUCCAGGGGUUUCACUCUUUGGGCAGGUCCAAAGAGAGACAGUCCACUGGGAGAGUUCCCAGUCUUCCGAGUCCCAGAGAGAAAGAAAACUCUUCUCCCAGUCACUGUGACAGAGUACCAGGAUCGGCUCUGAAUUAUUCUGGGUCCUAUACCUUUCCCCAGAAAUGGACUUGAGUGAGCACCACUCAAGCCAUAUGGACUGAGGUGGAGGAGUGCUGGUUCCCUAAGAGAUCUAAUGACCUUCUCCAGGAGUCGAGGACCCACUACCUCGCUGAAUUCUCAGAGUCAAAAUGCGUCUCUACCUGCUGGUCCCAGAACAGUCCCCUGCUGCUGCAUUGAAUGAAUCUCAUCUCACUUCCUCGAGUCAGCCCUACCUAUAUUUGAUGAUCACAAACCUUAUCCUUACGUUGCCAGCAGUAACAUUCUGCAUCCCUCACCCACUCCACUGUGUCCUUUUCCUCCCACUGAUCUUCACUCUGCCUUUUCUAGGGGAACUCUGAACAGUAUUUCUGAGAAGGGGUAGGUAAUGUGCGCUUUGCUUCAGUCUGAGUGGAUUCCAUCAACCUCUGCAUAGAGCAGGGGUGGAAAGAAAUCCUGUGUCAUUGCAGCUUCUUUUCGAUCUAAGCUUUCAUGGCCUUAUUAUGUAGUUUACAUGUUUUUGUCAGACAACAGGAUGUUUUGCCUAUAUCAUUCUAUUUCCCUUUCUCAAAUGUUGGAGAUGCCAUAGUAAUUAAUGAAGUACAAAUCCAUUUUAAAAUAUCUUACUCCUGGCCAGGCGCAGUGGCUCACUUCUGUAAUCCCAGCACUUUGGGAGGCGGAGGCGAGCGGAUCACUUGAGGUCAGGAGUUUGAGACCAGCCUGGCCAACGUGGUAAAACCCCGUCUCUACUAAAAAUACGAAAAUGAGCCGGUGUGGUGGCAGGCGCCUGUAGUCCCAGCUCCUCCGGAGGCUGAGGUGGAAGAAUUGCUUGAACCCAGGAGGCAGAGGUUGCAGUGAGCCAAGAUCUUGCCGCUGCGCUCCAGCCUGGGUGACAGAGUGAGACUCUGACUCAAAAAAAUCAUGCUCCUCUCUGCUUGGUGUAUGUGUCUUUCCUUAAAGUUAGAUAUUAAAAGUACAAUAGAGUCACAGUCUCUUAUCUGGAAGUUUUGGGGUCAGAUAACUUUCAGAAUUCAGAUUGUUUCAGAUUUUUCUAAAAGUAAUAAUGCACGUAUGAUGUGGUUAUAUAAUGCUCUGGGCUCUGGGACAACACCCGAUAGUCAAACAUAUUAUUGUUACUAUAGCAAAAUGUAUGAAUAUUUUCACACUUCAUGGAUGCGUAAAGAUUAUACAUAGCUUCAUGUCGACUCAGGUCAACUUUUGUUGCCAAAUAAGUUACAAAAAAAACUUAUUUUGUAGAGCUUUUUGGAUUUCAAAAUGGUAGAUAGGGAUUGUGGACCUGUCUUAGUAUAAGUACCUAUUGAGAGUCUGUGAAAUUUUUUUACUUUAAAGAAUAUUUUCCAUAUUCCAAAAGGUUGGAAACCACAGUUAUAUUGUAUAAGCAGGGGUCACAAACUCAAGUGCAAGGGCCAGUAAAAUAAAUAAGUGGGAGGCGGGUAUAGGACAGUAGGGAAUGGGGGGACUGUAGUGAACCGGUGAGUACGUGUUCAUUCAAAGGGGAACAUGGCCACGUAUUGUCAUGGUGAAUGUGGGAGUAGUGAAGCCUCAUCUUCCAUUUUUAAUGAUACUCCAGAAUGCUGAAUUCCAUGUGAAGUUUCUUGAUAUUUAAAUAUUGGCAACCAAAAAGAAAAAAGAAACUCACUGUAUUAGCCAAAUAAAACAUAAUCUGCAGGUUUUAUCUGGCUGCAGGCUGCCUGCUUUACUUCUGAUUUGCAGAUUAAUGCCGAUGGUAUGAAAAGUUGUCAGUGUUUUUGGUAAUGAAUUACUUCUUGAGAUGUGGAUGGAUACAUAUGUUUUGUAAUUAUUCAUUACACCCCAUAUAUAUGCUGUAUGGUUUUUGUGUAUAAAAUAUUUCAUAAUAAAAAAACCUAGACAGGCCAAGUUGGGUGGAUCACCUGAGGUCGGGAGUUUGAGACCAGCCUGGCCGAUAUGGAGAAACCCCAUUUCUACUAAAAAUACAAAAAAUUAGCAGGGCAUGGUGGCACAUGCUUGUAAUCCCAGCUACUUGGGAGGCUGAGGCAGGAGAAUCACUUGAACCCAGGAGGCGGAGGUUGCAGUGAGCCGAGAUCGCGCCAUUGCACUCCAGCCUGGGCAACAAGAGCGAAACUCCGUCCAAAAAAACAAAAAAACAAACAAAACCUAGACAACUUGCUAGUCACUUUAUUUUAGACCUGCCUCAUUUUCUGGCCAGUGGGAAGUUUCCUUCUUAUCUACAAAUUUGAAACUUUAAAUUUUUUUAUCUUGGAAAAGGGAAUGAAAGCCCCACUUUAAAAAUGGGAGCCCUCCUUAAAAGUAGUUUAGUGGCCAGGCACUGUGGCUCAUGCCUGUAAUCCUAGCAUGCUGGGAGGCCAAGAUGGGAGGAUCACUUGAGGCCAGGAGUUUGAGACUAGCCUGGUCAAUAUAGCGAGACCCCACCUCUCUCUAUAGAUAGAUAGAUAGGUAGAUAGAUAGAUAGAUAGAUAGACAGAUAGAUAGAUAGAUAGAGAUAUAGAUAUAGUAAAAGUAGGAGUUUAAAAAGGUUAGAUUGUAGCUGAGCGUGGUGGCUCACGCCUGCAAUCCCAGCACUUUGGGAGGCCAAGGCGGGCAGAUCACGAGGUCAGGAGAUCGAGACCAUCCUGGCUAACACAGUGAAACCCCAUCUCUACUAAAAAAAAUACAAAAAAAAAAAAAAUUAGCCAGGCAUGGUGGCAGGCGCCUGUAGUCCCAGCUGCUGGGGAGGCUGAGGCAGGAGAAUGGCAUGAACCCAGGAGGCGGAGCGUGCAGUGAGCCAAGAUCGCGCCACUGCACCACUGCACUCCAGCCUGGGUGACAGAGCAAGACUCCAUCUCAAAAAAAAAAAAAAAAAAGGUUAGAUUGUAAUCUUUCUACCUUUCCAGGGCCAUAGUGAUCCGAAGUAACAUUAGGUAUCUGUCCUUAUAUUGGGACAGAAAGAUGUCCUUCGUGUCCUCUCUUUUGAGAUCUUUUCCCUGGGUCAUCUCAGCUCCAUAACUGUCACCUCAUGAUUGAUGACUCUGUUUUAUGCUUCCAG